rnacentral:rRNA from 1 species
GCGGCAACAGCUCAAAUUUGAAAUCUGGCUCUCGGGCCCGAGUUGUAAUUUGUAGAGGAUACUUUUGAUGCGGUGCCUUCCGAGUUCCCUGGAACGGGACGCCAUAGAGGGUGAGAGCCCCGUCUGGUUGGAUGCCAAAUCUCUGUAAAGUUCCUUCAACGAGUCGAGUAGUUUGGGAAUGCUGCUCUAAAUGGGAGGUAUAUGUCUUCUAAAGCUAAAUACCGGCCAGAGACCGAUAGCGCACAAGUAGAGUGAUCGAAAGAUGAAAAGCACUUUGAAAAGAGAGUUAAAAAGUACGUGAAAUUGUUGAAAGGGAAGCGUUUAUGACCAGACUUGGGCUUGGUUAAUCAUCUGGGGUUCUCCCCAGUGCACUUUUCCAGUCCAGGCCAGCAUCAGUUUUCCCCGGGGGAUAAAGGCGGCGGGAAUGUGGCUCUCUUCGGGGAGUGUUAUAGCCCACCGUGUAAUACCCUGGGGGGGACUGAGGUUCGCGCAUCUGCAAGGAUGCUGGCGUAAUGGUCAUCAACGACCCGUCUUGAAACACGGACCAAGGAGUCGUCUUCGUAUGCGAGUGUUUGG